rnacentral:rRNA from 1 species
AUUGAACGCUGGCGGCAGGCUUAACACAUGCAAGUCGAACGAGUGGCGGACGGGUGAGUAAUGUCUGGGAAACUGCCUGAUGGAGGGGGAUAACUACUGGAAACGGUAGCUAAUACCGCAUACCAUCGGAUGUGCCCAGAUGGGAUUAGCUAGUAGGUGGGGUAAAGGCUCACCUAGGCGACGAUCCCUAGCUGGUCUGAGAGGAUGACCAGCCACACUGGAACUGAGACACGGUCCAGACUGCUGCGGGUGGCAGCAGUGGGGAAUAUUGCACAAUGGGCGCAAGCCUGAUGCAGCCAUGCCGCGUGGAUGAAGAAGGCCUUCGGGUUGUAAAGUACUUUCAGCGGGGAGGCGUUACUCGCAGAAGAAGCACCGGCUAACUCCGUGCCAGCAGCCGCGGUAAUAC